rnacentral:rRNA from 1 species
GAUGAACGCUGGCGGCGUGCCUAAUACAUGCAAGUCGAGCGAAGCGGGGACUGGUGAGUAACACGUGGAUAACCUCCUAUAAGACUGGGAUAACUUCGGGAAACCGGACCUAAACGGGAUACUUAUAGAUGGAUCUGGGCUUCAUUUGCUAGUUGGUAAGGUAACCGCUUACCAAGGCAACGACGCAUAGCCGACCUGAGAGGGUGAUAGGCCACCCUGGAACUGGGACCCGGUCCAGCCCCCUUCGGGAGGCAGCAGUAGGGGAUCGUCCGCGAUGGGCGAAAGCCUUUCGGUGCAACGCCGCGUGUGUGAUGAAGGUCUUCGGAUCGUCAAACUCUGUUAGUUGGGCAGCGGCACCUACUCAGAAAGCCACGGCUAACUACGUGCCAGCAGCCGCGGUAAUUC